GACGAACGCUGGCGGCGUGCCUAAUACAUGCAAGUCGAACGCAGUGGGGACGGGUGAGUAACACGUGGGUAACCUCCCAUCAGAGGGGAUAACACUUGGAAACAGGUGCUAAACCGAUACUGAUGGAUGGACCCGGGGGGCAUUAGCUAGUUGGUGAGGGACCGGCUCACCAAGGCCACGAUGCAUAGCCGACCUUGGAGGGUGAUCGGCCACACUGGGGCUGGGACAGGGCCCAGACUCUGCCGGGAGGCGGCAGUAGGGAAUCUUCGGAAAUGGACGAAAGUCUGACCGAGAAACGCCGCGUGAGUGAAGAAGGUUUUCGGAUCGUAAAACUCUGUUGUUAAAGAAGCGGUAUCUAACCAGAAAGCCACGGCUAACUACGUGCCAGCAGCCGCGGUAAUUC
rnacentral:rRNA from 1 species